UAUUGGUUCUCCCGCAAUACUAAUUUGUUUACUUGGUUAGAUCUGGAAAGAAGCAACCAAAACAAAUAAUGUUUGUGCUGGGAUGUAGCUAAUUAGC
rnacentral:SRP_RNA from 1 species